UCCUGGCUGGCUCAGUCGGUAGAGCAUGGGACUCUUGAUUCUGAGAUCAUGAGUUUGAGCCCCAUGUUGGGGA
rnacentral:tRNA from 1 species